rnacentral:rRNA from 1 species
GACGAACGCUGGCGGCGUGCUUAACACAUGCAAGUCGAACGGAAAGGCCCUGCUUUUGUGGGGUGCUCGAUUGGCGAACGGGUGAGUAACACGUGAGUAACCUGCCCUUGACAUUGUGAUAACUUCAGGGAACUGGGGCUAAUACCGGAUAUGAGCUCCUGCUGCACGGGGGGGGUUGGAAAGUUUCGGCGGUUGUGGAUGGACUCGCGGCUUAUCGGCUUGUUUGUGGGGUAGUGGCUUACCAAGGCUUUGACGGGUAGCCGGCCUGGGAGGGUGACCGGCCACAAUGCGCCUGAGAUAAGGCCCAGACUCCAACGGGAGGCAGUGGUGGGGAAUAUUGCACAACAGGGGGACGCCUGAUGCAGCAGCGCCGCGUGCGUGAUGCCGGCCUUCGGGUUGUAAACCGCUUUCGCCUGUGACGAGGCGUGAGUGACGGUACCGGGUAAAGAAGCACCGGCUAACUACGUG